AAGCUUUCCCUCCCGACGGAUGGAAUCGUGCCAAGUAGAGCCCUAAAACCCCUGGGCUAGGGUUCUUCCUCUUGGAGAGACUCUGGCGAUGUCCGCCGCGGCGCGGCUAUGGCGCCUCGCUCGAUCAGUGCCGCGGAGCGCAAGCCCAGGUCUGUGUCGAUGUAAUGCUAGAGAAUGCGCUCCGGCGAUUAUCGGCGGGGAUCAUGGAUUGAGCAAUGUAGGCCUGGGAGGAUUGGAUUUCAGGCGCGGGUUUGCGACGACGAAGAAGGGAGCCGUGACGCCCAAGGCCAAGACGAAGAAGGGCCCUCAGGCGGCGAAAGGAGGGAAGAAAGGAGCUGCUGGAGGGAAGGGGUCUGGGAAAGGAGGCGCUGGAGCAUCGGAAGGGGGUGGUGGUAGCACAGGGACUGUAGGCAUUGAGGAUUAUACCAUUAAGGAACCAGGAGAGAUUGCCGAGGACAAUCUCUUCACUGGAGCAAGGAAAGUUCACGAGAUCACUGCCGAGGAUAUCAACAAGUACUUCCACAUAAGUGAGGAGGAUGUGACGAAGUACUUUACUGAAGGAUUUCCGAAGGGAGUUAUGAAAGAAUUUGAGAUGUCGAGAAGCAGGUUCGUUCGAGUUAGAAGAUGUGUUCUUGAAAUCAUUAACAAGCUCCAGUACUCCGCCACUGGCGAGUUUGCUUUCGUCUCGCCGGACGUUUUGCCUUACAAUCUCGCCAGGGAUGCCGUCUUUGUGAAAGCGGAUAAGCCGAAAGCUAGCGUGAAGAGCGAGGAAUCCGACACAAGUGUUACCUCUGAAGAAGGAGAGAAGUCGAGCGAAGAGGUCCAAGACAAAGAUGAUACUCAUGCGGAAGAUGAGGAUGAAGAGGCAAAGAAGGACGACGGCAUGAAGCUCCAUAUAUCUAGCAAGAAAGAUCAAAGGAUGAGGGGCUCCAAGCACCACAUUCUCGAUGGACCUGUAGGAUGUGGAAAAAGUUUUGCUCUCGCGGUGAUUGUCCAAUGGGCUCGUGCUCAAGGUUGGCUUGUUUUUUACGUACCCAGGGGCCAAGAAUGGACCAGGGGAGGGUACUAUUAUUUGAAUGAGCUUACUGGACUUUGGGACACACCUAUACAAGCUCAGAAGGUUUUACGGGAGUUUUUGGACAGUCAUGGCGAAAUGCUGGAACAGAUCAAGUGUCGUGUUCCGGAUCCUAUAUUUUUGGGUGAAACUGCUGCGCUUGGUCGUAUACCAGGUCCACAAGAAAUUACUAUGCCGGAGAACUCGACCGUGAAAGAUCUUGUGGAAAAGGGGCUUGACGUGCAAGCUGCUGCCUCCAACAUCGUUGUGAGAUUGAGACAAGAGCUUGAUCUCGUCACAGAGUUCCCAGUCCUGAUCGCGGUUGACGAGUUUAACAGUUGGUUUACGUUCAGCGAGUAUCACCAAUUCCUGGAUUUUAAGAAGACUCGUCAAAUUCAUGCCAAAGAGCUAGGAAUGGUGAGCGCUUUCCGGAGGAUGGAAACAUCGCGUCAACUCUUUGUUGGAGCCUUUUCACAGUCGACAGCUGUCGGCAAGCUUCCCCUGGAACUUCCCGGAGCUCCGAAGAGGUUUCGAAUUGACGUUGCUCGCGCAGACAAGGAAGAGAUUCACGCCGCUAUUCGAUACUAUCACAAGCAAAAUCUGUUGCACAAUGAGCCUCAGGAGGAUGCCAUCAACCGGCUCUUCUUCUUGACCAACGGAAACGGCGCCGAGUUAAGGAAGCUCGUGCGAUAUAUUUAACUGCAAACCUGUCGCGACAAGGCUUUUCACGCAAUUUUUCACAUGGACGAGUUAUAUAUCUCUGGGAAUUUAUUUGUGUGGGGUCAACUGUGACGCGAGGAACACUACCCUCCGUAUUUUUUUUGGUCGGUUUUGCGCUUCCCAGCGAUGGCAUCAGGACCACUGGCUCUUGGGAGUAAAAUAAUGAAAGAUUGCGAAGCUCGAGAGCAUUGUUUUCUUGGCGGGCACGUUUCCUUCUCGUAUUGUUUCUUUCUUUUUUAUUUCGGUUGUUCUUAUUCUCUAUCUUUAAUGCCUGAUGGAUGUUGCUAGGCUGCUGCUAAGGGGCGACUAGACGCCAACAUUUAUAAGAUUCCGCAAGAAAAACUAAGCGAAAGCGAUCUCUCCUCCACCUCCAGUUUGCUGGAGACAUUCUUUUCCGCGAGACAAGUCAGGAGCUUAAAAUCUGGAGAUUUUCCAAGCGAGCCUAUGAAGAUGGAUGGUUAAGUUGGAAGAACUCCAGGCGAUAAGCCCUCGAUUUUUUGGCUACACAGGCACCCUUUGUCUCUGGCCGCCCUUAAGCGUUGCCUGUCUAUUGGCGAAGUUGAGAGGCCAAGAGUAACUUACACCUUGAUAGGACAGAUUUGUCGAAUCUCGCAAACUUUAAUUUUUUGAUCGAGCUUAUCCUUUUA